AAUGAACGUUGGCGGCGUGGAUUAGGCAUGCAAGUCGUGCGGAAAGGCUCCUUCGGGAGUACUCGAGCGGCGUAAGGGAGAGUAACGCGUGGAUAUCUACCCCCUGGACUGGGAUAGCGGCGGGAAACUGCCGGUAAUACCCGAUAAUGUCUGCGGACCAAAGGUGUGAUUCCGCCGGGGGAUGAGUUCGCGUCCUAUUAGCUAGUUGGUAGGGUAAUGGCCUACCAAGGCAAAGAUGGGUACCGGGUGUGAGAGCAUGGCCCGGCUCACUGGGACUGAGACACUACCCAGACACCUACGGGUGGCUGCAGUCGAUAAUCUUCGGCAAUGGGCGCAAGCCUGACCGAGCGACGCCGCGUGCGGGAUGAAGGCCUUAGGGUUGUAAACCGCUGUCAGAGGGGAGGAAAUGCGUGGGAGUUCUCUCUCACGUUUGACCUAUCCUCAGAGGAAGUACGGGCUAAGUUCGUGCCAGCAGCCGCCGUAAUAC
rnacentral:rRNA from 1 species